CGAUACUCUGCCCAUCUCUAAGUACAGGAUCCACUGGAAACAACUGAGCGUCUGCUAUUCCGAAAUAUUAACAAACGGAACAACAUGAAUCUGAGAGUGUUCCUUGUGGGCCUGGCCAUCUUUGGUUUUAUUGUGGCAGAGAGCGGCGCGAUGCCGGCCAACAGAGCCAGCGAUGGCGAAGCCCGGUCUGACACCGACACUGCUGAGCGCGCCGAGCAGAGCAGCAGCGGCGAGGAGGCACGCAUCAGCGAGGCGUGCCUAAAGUCAUUGUGCGGAUAGUUGUCCGGUGGAAGAGGGUGGCGCAUUUGAAGGAACGUAUUUUCCAAUAAAAGCAGG